ACGCUCGACACCUACGGAGGCAGCAGUCGGGAAUAUUGCGCAAUGGAGGGAACUCUGACGCAGUGACGCCGCGUAUAGGAAGAAGGUUUUCGGAUUGUAAACUAUUUUAGACAGGGAAGAAUAAAGACAGUACCUGUAGAAUAAGCUCCGGCUAACUACGUGCCUGCAGCCGCGGUAAUCUGAGCGGGCUGGCAAGGC
rnacentral:rRNA from 1 species